UACGGAGGGUGCGAGCGUUGUCCGGAAUCACUGGGCGUAAAGGGCGCGUAGGCGGCGCGGGAAGUCCGUGGUGAAAGCCCGAGGCUCAACUUCGGGUCGGCCAUGGAUACUCCUGGGCUCGAGCACUGUAGAGGCAGGUGGAAUUCCGGGUGUAGCGGUGGAAUGCGUAGAGAUCCGGAAGAACACCGGUGGCGAAGGCGGCCUGCUGGGCAGUGACCGGUAAGGUCUUAAAAGCUGACGCUGAGGCGCGACAGCGCGGGGAGCAAACAGG
rnacentral:rRNA from 1 species